rfam:Camelus ferus unplaced genomic scaffold scaffold929, whole genome shotgun sequence.
GGGGGUAUGGUUCAGUGCUAGAGUGUGUGCUUGCUAUGCACAAGGUCCUGGGUUCAAGCCCCAGUGCCUCCA